AAAUAAGAAGCGAUAAUUUGCACUCAGUUUCGACCUGAUUCUAGAUGAUAACCAUCCUUAUUUU
rnacentral:tRNA from 2 species